rnacentral:rRNA from 1 species
GAAGGGACCUAGCGUAGUUCGGAAUUACUGGGCUUAAAGAGUUCGUAGGUGGUUAAAAAAGUUGGUGGUGAAAUCCCAGAGCUUAACUCUGGAACUGCCAUCAAAACUUUUUAGCUAGAGUAUGAUAGAGGAAAGCAGAAUUUCUAGUGUAGAGGUGAAAUUCGUAGAUAUUAGAAAGAAUACCAAUUGCGAAGGCAGCUUUCUGGAUCAUUACUGACGCUGAGGAACGAAAGCAUGGGUAGCGAAGAGGAUUAGAUACCCUCGUAGUCCAUGCCGUAAACGAUGUGUGUUAGACGUUGGAGAUUUAUUUUCAGUGUCGCAGCGAAAGCAUUAAACACACCGCCUGGGGAGUACGACCGCAAGGUUAAAACUCAAAUGAAUUGACGGGGACCCGCACAAGUAGUGGAGCAUGUGGUUUAAUUCGAAGAUACGCGCAGAACCUUACCAACACUUGACAUGUUCGUCGCGACUUUAAGAGAUUAAAGUUUUCGGUUCGGCCGGACGAAACACAGGUGCUGCAUGGCUGUCGUCAGCUCGUGUCGUGAGAUGUUGGGUUAAGUCCCGCAACGAGCGCAACCCUCACUUUUAGUUGCCAUCAUUAAGUUGGGCACUCUGAAAGAACUGCCAGUGAUAAGCUGGAGGAAGGUGGGGAUGAC